rnacentral:rRNA from 1 species
GACGAACGCUGGCGGCGUGCCUAAUACAUGCAAGUCGAGCGAAGUUUUUCUGGUGCUUGCACUAGAGAAACUUAGCGGCGAACGGGUGAGUAACACGUAAAGAACCUGCCUCAUAGACUGGGACAACUAUUGGAAACGAUAGCUAAUACCGGAUAACAGUAUUUCUCGCAUGAGAGAUAUUUAAAAGUUGGUUAUGCUAACACUAUGAGAUGGCUUUGCGGUGCAUUAGCUAGUUGGUGGGGUAAAGGCCUACCAAGGCGACGAUGCAUAGCCGACCUGAGAGGGUGAUCGGCCACACUGGGACUGAGACACGGCCCAGACUCCUACGGGAGGCAGCAGUAGGGAAUCUUCCGCAAUGGGCGAAAGCCUGACGGAGCAACGCCGCGUGAGUGAAGAAGGAUUUCGGUUCGUAAAGCUCUGUUGUUAGGGAAGAAUGGAUAUGUAGUAACUAUACAUGUAAGAGACGGACCAACCAGAA